AUGUCUUCCUGUCUCACAGAUAUCAUUAGUGCCAAUGGUGUUGAUUUCAUUGGUCUUCAAGAGACCAUGAAGAAAAAUUAUAAAACCUCCUUUUUUAGGAAGCUUGACCCUAUGGCUAAUUUCCACUGGGAAUGGAUCCCUUCAAUUGGGAAAUCUGGAGGAAUCCUAUGUGGUGUGAGAGUAGAGAAGUUUGAUGUUAUUGACACUGUUUGUGGCAAGUACAUUUUGCAAAUUAACUUUUUUGACAAAAUUAAGAAGUGCAAGUGGGCUCUACUUGUCGUUUAUGGAGCUGCACAUGAUGAUAGGAAACCUGUGUUUUUGGCUGAGCUGUCCUCGUUUUGUAAUAAAAUUGACAUUCCUUAUCUGGUUGGGGGAGAUUUUAAUAUUCUUAGGCAUUGUGGAGAUAAAAACAAACAAACUCCUAUGUCUCAUUUCUCGGAUGUUUUUAAUUCUAUAAUCCAUUUACAUGGGCUGGGAGAGAUUUAUAUGUCCGACGGUUCUUUUACUUGGUCCAAUAAACAAGAAUGUCCUACUUUGGAGAAGUUGGACAGGGUCUUAAUGUCUCCUGAUUGGGAAGACGUGUUUCCCUUGGUCUCUUUUUGUAAGUUGGUUAAAGAGCUUUCGGACCAUAAUCCCCUACUUCUUGAUGGGGGGGCUCCUUCAAGGGCUCAGGGGAGCAGAUGUUUUAGGUUUGAUGUGACCUAGUUGAAUAACCCUGAUUUCCUCCCUCUUGUAGCUAAUAUUUGGUCUAAACCUGUGUAUACUGAGGAUGCUAUCGACACCCUUAAUAUUAAAUUGAAGAGGGCCAAACAAUUCUUUAAAGGGUGGGGGUCGAACAUUUUUGGUAAUAACAGAAUUAAUAAGAAUCUUCUCAGACUAGAACUUCAGGAAUUGGAGUUGCUAGAGGAGAAGAGUGACCUGUGUGGGGAAGCCUAUGCUACGAAACUUGAUAUUUUAGUGGAACUAAAUAAUAUGUAUACAUAG
rnacentral:rRNA from 1 species